rnacentral:misc_RNA from 1 species
AAAGUCGUAACAAGGUUUCCGUAGGUGAACCUGCGGAAGGAUCAUUACAUAACGAAACUGUAUGGGCCUAACAACCCAAUACACAAACCCUUGUGAACCGUGCCUGUCACCUUUGGCACUGCCUAAAUGCAGUGUCGAACGGUACCAAACCAUAUUAACCAUUUGAACAACAUAUAAAGACUGAAUAGAAAUUCUAAUUGAAAUACAACUUUUAACAAUGGAUCUCUUGGCUCUU